GACGAACGCUGGCGGCGUGCUUAACACAUGCAAGUCGAACGGAAAGGCCCUGCUUUUGUGGGGUGCUCGAGUGGCGAACGGGUGAGUAACACGUGAGUAACCUGCCCUUGACUUUGGGAUAACUUCAGGAAACUGGGGCUAAUACCGGAUAGGAGCUCCUGCUGCAUGGUGGGGGUUGGAAAGUUUCGGCGGUUGGGGAUGGACUCGCGGCUUAUCAGCUUGUUGGUGGGGUAGUGGCUUACCAAGGCUUUGACGGGUAGCCGGCCUGAGAGGGUGACCGGCCACAUUGGGACUGAGAUACGGCCCAGACUCCUACGGGAGGCAGCAGUGGGGAAUAGUGCACGAUGGGCGGAAGCCUGAUGCAGCAACGCCGCGUGCGGGAUGACGGCCUUCGGGUUGUAAACCGCUUUCGCCUGUGACGAAGCGUGAGUGACGGUAAUGGGUAAAGAAGCGCCGGCUAACUACGUG
rnacentral:rRNA from 1 species